rnacentral:rRNA from 1 species
GCACCUCGGAUAUGGUGCGGGAAGUCGGGGGCCACUGGCCUCCAAGGCUAAAUACGUCCCAAGACCGAUAGCGGACCAGUAGCGUGAGCGAAAGGUGAAAAGUACCCCGGGAGGGGGGUGAAAAGCGCCUGAAACCGGCCGGUAACAGACGUGGGCGGCCCGAAAGGGAAAUCCCCGUCAAGGCCUCGAUGAGGGGCCGCGCGGGGACAAUCCCAGGGUCGCCCGCUCCGUCUUGAAACACGGGCCGGGGAGUUCACGGGUGUGGCGAGUCUAAGGGUGAAAGCCCGAAGGCGUAGGGAAACCGACGUGCCCGCGGCGGCCUUGAGCCGCGAGGGGCGGGGUCCGAAAGGGCCUGUAGCCACGCCCGUGAGGCUAGAAACCGGGCGAUCUAGCCCUGGGCAGGGUGAAGCCGGGGGAAACCCCGGUCGAGGCCCGAAUAGGGGUCCUGACGUGCAAUUCGGUCCCCUGACCUGGGGCUAGGAGUCAAAAGCUAACCGAGCCCGGUGAUAGCUAGUUCCCCCCGAAGUGUCUCGCAGGACAGCCUCGGGGGAGGUUGCCUGCGGGGUAGGGCACUGAUGGGGGAGAAAGGGGCCGGCGAGGCCCCGCUCUCCUUUCAAACUACGAACCCGCGGGCGCCGUAGAUCCCGGGAGUGGGGUACCGGGGGUAAGCUCCGGGACCGAGAGGGGAACAACCCAGACCCCGGGUUAAGGCCCCGAAGUGCCCGCUAAGUGACAAACCGAAGGGCGUCUCCACCCUGAGACAGCGGGGCCGUAGGGUGAGAAGCAGCCAUCGGCGAAGUAGUGCGGAACAGCUUACCCGCCGGGUGUGGGGGCCCCGAACAUUGACGGGGCUAAGCGGGCCGCCGAAACCCGGGCUCACCCGCGCCGUGCGCGGGCGGGGGUAGGGGGGCGUGGCGGUCGGGCGGAAGCGGGGCCGUGAGGUCCCGUGGACCGGUCGCCAAUGUAGAUCCCGGUGGUAGUAGACAGCGAAGAGGGGUGGGAAUCCCCUCCGCCGGAAGGGCACGGGUUCCCCGGCAAUGCGUCGUCAGCCGGGGGUAAGCCGGUCCUAAGGCCGACCUUAACCGGGUAGGCCGAAGGGGAAGCCGGUUAAGAUUCCGGCGCCUCCCGGGUAGUCGCGGCGACGCAAGCCGGGCCCCUGACGCUUCGGGGUAGGCUGACCGGGGCCGUAGCUCCGGCCAAGCGCUGAAGCCUGGGGAGUGCCGUAAAGGCGAGAACCAGGUGAAGGCGCGACGGGGCGGCGUAUGCCGCUUCGGUCGAUCCCUGGAGCCCGUGAAAAGGGGGUCCGGUUCGAUCCCGGGAGACCGUACCUAGAUCCGACACUGGUGCCCCUGGCUGAGAAGGCCAAGGCGUCUGGGGUGACUCCGGGCCAGGGAACUCGGCAAAUUAGCCCCGUAACCUCGGGAGAAGGGGUGCCUGCUUUCCUCUCCGACGAGGAGGGGUUGGCAGGUCGCAGUGACAAGGGGGUCCUGACUGUUUAAUAAAAACAUAGGAAGCCGCGAGGCCGAAAGGCUUCGAACGGCUUCUGAAUCCUGGCCAGCACCGGUACCUGAAACCCGGGUCCAACCGGGAUAAGGGCCGGCUAGCGCCGGGGGUAAUCCUGACCCUCGGGUAAGGGGGUCGUUAAACGCGGCUGUAUGCGGGGAAGGGGGAGGUCCUGGAUACCCUCGGGGUAACAACUCCAUGACCGGUGAUCCCGACCCGCAGGAAACCGCCCCGUGAACGGCUAAUACCGGACGUCGCUCAGACAACUCGGUGACCCUCGCCUACCUGAUCGGCGUCAUGCUCGGAGACGGCGGCGUCUACGGCAACUAUUACACCGUCUUCUGCAGGGACCAGUCCUUUGAGUUCGUCGAAUACGUCGCCCGACUCGUGGAGGAACUCUUCGGGAUAAGGCCGAACGUGAGGAGGGCAGGCUCGAAUAACUACGUCGCCUCGACGAACGUCCGCUGGGUCCACAACUUCCUUCUGAGGAUAGGGUUCCCGAAGGGGCGGAAGCUCGUCAACGCCGAGAUACCGCCGCUCUUCAGGGAAAGCCUGGACGUCGUCAGGGGGCUCUUCGACACCGAGGGCUACGUCGGGGUCGACGUUCAGCGGCACGGCGAGAGAGAGUAUCGGUACCCAUACGUCGGUUUCGACGCGAUCGCGAGACCCCUCGUCGUCCAAUCGCACCACAUCCUCUCCGCCAACGGGAUCCAGUCCACCUACUCCCUGAAACGACCUCAUGCGUGGGGGAAACACCAGCAGUGGAGGCUGCAGGUCAAGGGAUGGGAGAACGUGGAGCUGUUCCGCGAGAAGGUAGGGUUCAGGCAUCCCGUCAAGGCGGCAAGGAUCGAGCAGAUUUUGCGUGAGGGCGGGAUCCUCAGAGACCAUACGCCGCGCACCCGUCAGGGGUGAUGAUAUGGUCCACCACCAACUCCUGUUGGUGGAGCUUAAGGUAGCCAAAUGCCUUGUCGGGUAAGUUCCGACGCGCAUGAAUGGAUCAACGAGGGCCCCACUGUCCCGGCCCGGAGCCCCGUGAACCCACGUAACGUGGACGAACAGUCCACGGACAUCCAUCAGGGAGAGAAGACCCUGUGGAGCUUUACUGCAGCCUGUCGCUGCGGUACGGUUGCGGGUGCAGAGGGUAGCUGGGAGCCUUCGAAGGUGCCUCUCCGGGGGCACCGGAGGCGCAAGUGUAACACCAGCCACCUGUGACUGUAUCGCUAACCCCGCGAGGGGGACAACGGCAGGUGGGCAGUUCGGCUGGGGCGGCACCCCCUUGAAAAGGUAUCGAGGGGGCCCAAAGGUUGGCUCAGGCGGGUCAGAACCCCGCUGGUGAGGGUAAGGCCAAAAGCCAGCCUGACUGGAUCCCUAAACGCAGGGGAUCCAGAGGGGAAACCCGGGCCUAACGAUCCAUCCAGUCCCCACUAUUGGGGGCGGGUGGUGACAGAAAAGUUACCCCAGGGAUAACAGGCUUGUCGCGGGCGAGAGCUCCCAUCGACCCCGCGGCUUGGUACCUCGAUGUCGGCUCUUCCCAUCCUGGCCUCGCAGCAGGGGCCAAGGGUGAGGCUGCUCGCCUAUCAAAGGGGAACGUGAGCUGGGUUUAGACCGGCGUGAGCCAGGUCGGAUUCUACCUGCUGGGGGUGCGGGCCGCCUGAGGGUAGGGCCCUCCUAGUACGAGAGGAACGGAGGGCCGGGGCCAACGGUGUACCGGUCGUCCUACAGGGCGACGCCGGGCAGCCGCGCCCCUGGGGAUAAGGGCUGAAAGCAUCUAAGCCCGAAGCCCCUCCCAAAAAUAGGCGGCCGAUCGGGGCCUAUAGGGCCCGGUAACGGGCCUUGGGCCCCGACGAGGGCUCCCCUAGAAGAGGGGGUUGAUGGGGUGGGCGUGUAAGGGCGGAGGCGUACGCCGGACGCCCUCAGCGCGCCGCUCCCAAUCGCCCGAGCUGCUCGGAUC